rnacentral:rRNA from 1 species
CCGGUAAACGGCGGCCGUAACUAUAACGGUCCUAAGGUAGCGAAAUUCCUUGUCGGGUAAGUUCCGACCUGCACGAAUGGCGUAAUGAUGGCCAGGCUGUCUCCACCCGAGACUCAGUGAAAUUGAACUCGCUGUGAAGAUGCAGUGUACCCGCGGCAAGACGGAAAGACCCCGUGAACCUUUACUAUAGCUUGACACUGAACAUUGAGCCUUGAUGUGUAGGAUAGGUGGGAGGCUUUGAAGUGUGGACGCCAGUCUGCAUGGAGCCGACCUUGAAAUACCACCCUUUAAUGUUUGAUGUUCUAACGUUGACCCGUAAUCCGGGUUGCGGACAGUGUCUGGUGGGUAGUUUGACUGGGGCGGUCUCCUCCUAAAGAGUAACGGAGGAGCACGAAGGUUGGCUAAUCCUGGUCGGACAUCAGGAGGUUAGUGCAAUGGCAUAAGCCAGCUUGACUGCGAGCGUGACGGCGCGAGCAGGUGCGAAAGCAGGUCAUAGUGAUCCGGUGGUUCUGAAUGGAAGGGCCAUCGCUCAACGGAUAAAAGGUACUCCGGGGAUAACAGGCUGAUACCGCCCAAGAGUUCAUAUCGACGGCGGUGUUUGGCACCUCGAUGUCGGCUCAUCACAUCCUGGGGCUGAAGUAGGUCCCAAGGGUAUGGCUGUUCGCCAUUUAAAGUGGUACGCGAGCUGGGUUUAGAACGUCGUGAGACAGUUCGGUCCCUAUCUGCCGUGGGCGCUGGAGAACUGAGGGGGGCUGCUCCUAGUACGAGAGGACCGGAGUGGACGCAUCACUGGUGUUCGGGUUGUCAUGCCAAUGGCACUGCCCGGUAGCUAAAUGCGGAAGAGAUAAGUGCUGAAAGCAUCUAAGCACGAAACUUGCCCCGAGAUGAGUUCUCCCUGACUCCUUGAGAGUCCUGAAGGAACGUUGAAGACGACGACGUUGAUAGGCCGGGU